rnacentral:rRNA from 1 species
AUUGAACGCUGGCGGCAGGCCUAACACAUGCAAGUCGAACGAGUGGCGGACGGGUGAGUAAUGUCUGGGAAACUGCCUGAUGGAGGGGGAUAACGACUGGAAAAGGUAGAUAAUACCGCAUACCAUCGGGUGUGCCCAGAUGGGAUUAGCUAGUAGGUGGGGUAAAGGGUCACCUAGGCGACGAUCCCUAGCUGGUCUGAGAGGAUGACAAGCAACACUGGAACGAAGACACGUUCCAUACUCCUACGGGAGGAAGCAGUGGGUAAUAUUGCACAAUGGGCGCAAGCCUGAUGCAGCCAUGCCGCGUGUAUGAAGAAGGCCUUCGGGUUGUAAAGUACUUUCAGCGGGGAGGCGUUACCCGCAGAAGAAGCACCGGCUAACUCCGUGCCAGCAGCCGCGGUAAUAC